rnacentral:rRNA from 1 species
AUUGAACGCUGGCGGCAUGCCUUACACAUGCAAGUCGAACGGCAGCACGGGGCAACCUGGUGGCGAGUGGCGAACGGGUGAGUAAUGCAUCGGAACGUACCUUUCAGUGGGGGAUAACGUAGCGAAAGUUACGCUAAUACCGCAUAUUCUGUGAGCAGGAAAGCAGGGGAUCGCAAGACCUUGCGCGGAUUGAGCGGCCGAUGUCAGAUUAGCUAGUUGGUGAGGUAAAGGCUCACCAAGGCGACGAUCUGUAGCGGGUCUGAGAGGAUGAUCCGCCACACUGGAACUGAGACACGGUCCAGACUCCUACGGGAGGCAGCAGUGGGGAAUUUUGGACAAUGGGGGCAACCCUGAUCCAGCCAUGCCGCGUGAGUGAAGAAGGCCUUCGGGUUGUAAAGCUCUUUCGGCCGGGAAGAAAUCGCACGGGCUAAUGCCCUGUGUGGAUGACGGUACCGGAAUAAGAAGCACCGGCUAACUACGUGCCAGCAGCCGCCGUAACAC